CCCGCUACCACCCUCAAGUUCACCCACCUCGACUUUCAGUGUUCCUACCCCAAAGAUCGCAACAAGUAAGGAAACAAACACGGAAACCGCCGAAUGCUCUAAUCCUGGCUUUGAGCUACAGCUUCUGACGAGAGCUGCACCUUCACUUCUCAUCUAGCACCACCUACUGCCCACGGCGCGCAGGGCCCGGCGCCGCUGCCCAGCCCCGGCUGGAGGAGCGCGGGGAGCCGCGGAGCUGGGCACGGGUCCGCACCGUCACCGAGCUGGGCACGGGCCCGUAUCCUCACCGAGCUGGGCACGGGCCCCUUCCCACACCGAGCUGGGCACGGGCCCGCACCGUCACCGAGCUGGGCACGGGCCCGUAUCCUCACCGAGCUGGGCACGGGCCCCUUCCCACACCGAGCUGGGCACGGGCCCGCACCGUCACCGAGCUGGGCACUGGCCCGUACCCUCACCGAGCUGGGCACGGGCCCCUUCCCACACCGAGCUGGGCACGGGCCCUUGCCCGCACCGAGCCCGUCGCCGCCUCAACACCUGCUCGAACUUUGCGCGGUUAUCCAGAGGCAUCCAUAUUCCAAAGACUGCUCCGGCAGAGUUACAAGGAAAAAGCUCCUGUGUUUCCAGCAGAUUUCUCUGCUCGUACUUGAAGUUGCUGUCACCUUUGGUUGCAAGUAUUUAAGAACUGCUGCACACUUCAGAUCUGGCCAGUCUUCGGUCUCAACAUGGCUAGAGACAAAUGCAUAG
ensembl:lncRNA